AGUGUGUGUGUUAGUGGAAGCGUCUGGAAAGGCGCGCGAUACAGGGUGACAGCCCCGUACACAAAAAUGCACAUAUUGUGAGCUCGAUGAGUAGGGCGGGACACGUGGUAUCCUGUCUGAAUAUGGGGGGACCAUCCUCCAAGGCUAAAUACUCCUGACUGACCGAUAGUGAACCAGUACCGUGAGGGAAAGGCGAAAAGAACCCCGGCGAGGGGAGUGAAAAAGAACCUGAAACCGUGUACGUACAAGCAGUGGGAGCCUCUUAAUGGGGUGACUGCGUACCUUUUGUAUAAUGGGUCAGCGACUUAUAUUCUGUAGCAAGGUUAACCGAAUAGGGGAGCCGAAGGGAAACCGAGUCUUAACUGGGCGUUAAGUUGCAGGGUAUAGACCCGAAACCCGGUGAUCUAGCCAUGGGCAGGUUGAAGGUUGGGUAACACUAACUGGAGGACCGAACCGACUAAUGUUGAAAAAUUAGCGGAUGACUUGUGGCUGGGGGUGAAAGGCCAAUCAAACCGGGAGAUAGCUGGUUCUCCCCGAAAGCUAUUUAGGUAGCGCCUCGUGAAUUCAUCUCCGGGGGUAGAGCACUGUUUCGGCAAGGGGGUCAUCCCGACUUACCAACCCGAUGCAAACUGCGAAUACCGGAGAAUGUUAUCACGGGAGACACACGGCGGGUGCUAACGUCCGUCGUGAAGAGGGAAACAACCCAGACCGCCAGCUAAGGUCCCAAAGUCAUGGUUAAGUGGGAAACGAUGUGGGAAGGCCCAGACAGCCAGGAUGUUGGCUUAGAAGCAGCCAUCAUUUAAAGAAAGCGUAAUAGCUCACUGGUCGAGUCGGCCUGCGCGGAAGAUGUAACGGGGCUAAACCAUGCACCGAAGCUGCGGCAGCGACACUAUGUGUUGUUGGGUAGGGGAGCGUUCUGUAAGCCUGUGAAGGUGGCCUGUGAGGGUUGCUGGAGGUAUCAGAAGUGCGAAUGCUGACAUAAGUAACGAUAAAGCGGGUGAAAAGCCCGCUCGCCGGAAGACCAAGGGUUCCUGUCCAACGUUAAUCGGGGCAGGGUGAGUCGACCCCUAAGGCGAGGCCGAAAGGCGUAGUCGAUGGGAAACAGGUUAAUAUUCCUGUACUUGGUGUUACUGCGAAGGGGGGACGGAGAAGGCUAUGUUGGCCGGGCGACGGUUGUCCCGGUUUAAGCGUGUAGGCUGGUUUUCCAGGCAAAUCCGGAAAACCAAGGCUGAGGCGUGAUGACGAGGCACUACGGUGCUGAAGCGACAAAUGCCCUGCUUCCAGGAAAAGCCUCUAAGCAUCAGGUAACAUCAAAUCGUACCCCAAACCGACACAGGUGGUCAGGUAGAGAAUACCAAGGCGCUUGAGAGAACUCGGGUGAAGGAACUAGGCAAAAUGGUGCCGUAACUUCGGGAGAAGGCACGCUGAUAUGUAGGUGAAGCGACUUGCUCGUGGAGCUGAAAUCAGUCGAAGAUACCAGCUGGCUGCAACUGUUUAUUAAAAACACAGCACUGUGCAAACACGAAAGUGGACGUAUACGGUGUGACGCCUGCCCGGUGCCGGAAGGUUAAUUGAUGGGGUUAGCGGCAACGCGAAGCUCUUGAUCGAAGCCCCGGUAAACGGCGGCCGUAACUAUAACGGUCCUAAGGUAGCGAAAUUCCUUGUCGGGUAAGUUCCGACCUGCACGAAUGGCGUAAUGAUGGCCAGGCUGUCUCCACCCGAGACUCAGUGAAAUUGAACUCGCUGUGAAGAUGCAGUGUACCCGCGGCAAGACGGAAAGACCCCGUGAACCUUUACUAUAGCUUGACACUGAACAUUGAGCCUUGAUGUGUAGGAUAGGUGGGAGGCUUUGAAGUGUGGACGCCAGUCUGCAUGGAGCCGACCUUGAAAUACCACCCUUUAAUGUUUGAUGUUCUAACGUUGGCCCGUAAUCCGGGUUGCGGACAGUGUCUGGUGGGUAGUUUGACUGGGGCGGUCUCCUCCUAAAGAGUAACGGAGGAGCACGAAGGUUGGCUAAUCCUGGUCGGAUAUCAGGAGGUUAGUGCAAUGGCAUAAGCCAGCUUGACUGCGAGCGUGACGGCGCGAGCAGGUGCGAAAGCAGGUCAUAGUGAUCCGGUGGUUCUG
rnacentral:rRNA from 1 species